CUCCCUCAGCCACUCAUCACAGGUCUUGUGCUCCAGACCCUUCUCCAGCACCGUUGCCCUCUCUGAACUCAUUCCAGCCCCUCAAUGUCCUUCCUGUCGUGACGGGCCCAGAACUGGACACAGGACUCGAGGUGCAGCAUCACCAGUAUGGGGGGACAAUCACUGCCUGAGUCCCGCUGGCCACGCUAUUGCUGAUCCAGGCCAGGAUGCCGCUGGCCUUCGUGGCUCCCUGGGCAUUUUCAGGGCACGUCCCAGCCACUGCUCCCUCCUGCAGCGGAGUGCCCACUUCCCGGUGGGAGCACCGAUGGUGUCUGUGGUCACGCUCCAGUGUUGCAUAGGAACAGUGCAGAGGAAAUCUCUACAUCAAAAUUUUGCCUACACUCCUCAGAAUCCACCCGCUGCCUCUGCCACUGCUUGGGGGAUCUCUGCUUGGAAUAGCCAGAGCCUUUGAGACCACCCAGCUCAGGCAAGGCUUUAAACCAUCUCAUUGAAUGAAAUAUGCUCAAGAAACGAAGAGUAGCAGACAAUGGAAAAGUGCACAGGUUGCAGACAAUACUGAAAAAUUGGACCAGAGGAAAUCUGAGGAUUCAAAACCCAGAGAAGAAAUAAAAAUAAUCUAUAUGGAUUCUUC